UACGAAGGGUGCAAACGUUGCUCGGAAUUAUUGGGCGUAAAGCGCACGUAGGCGGCUCAACAAGUCGGAUGUGAAAUCCCUCGGCUCAACCAAGGAAGUGCACCCGAAACUGUCGAGCUUGAAUAUGGAAGAGGGUCGCGGAAUUCCCGGUGUAGAGGUGAAAUCCGUAGAUAUCGGGAGGAACACCAGUGGCGAAGGCGGCGACCUGGGCCAAUAUUGACGCUGAGGUGCGAAAGCGUGGGGAGCAAACAGG
rnacentral:rRNA from 1 species